rnacentral:rRNA from 1 species
UGCGUAGGUGGUCGGGUAAGUUUGAUGUGAAAUCUCCGGGCUCAACCCGGAAACUGCAUUGAAUACUAUUCGGCUGGAGGGUUGGAGGGGGGACUGGAAUUCUCGGUGUAGCAGUGAAAUGCGUAGAUAUCGAGAGGAACACCAGUGGCGAAGGCGAGUCCCUGGACAACUCCUGACACUAAGGCACGAAAGCUAGGGGAGAAAC